rnacentral:rRNA from 1 species
GAUGAACGCUGACAGAAUGCUUAACACAUGCAAGUCAACUGUGGCGGACGGGUGAGUAACGCGUAAAGAACUUGCCUCACAGCUAGGGACAACAUUUGGAAACGAAUGCUAAUACCUGAUACUGUGAGAGAGCUUUGCGUCCCAUUAGCUAGUUGGAGCGGUAACGGAUCACCAAGGCGAUGAUGGGUAGCCGGCCUGAGAGGGUGAGCGGCCACAAGGGGAACGAGAACCCGCCCUUACUCCUACGGGAGGGAGCAGUGGGGAAUAUUGGACAAUGGACCAAAGUCUGAUCCAGCAAUUCUGUGUGCACGAUGAAGUUUUCGGAAUGUAAAGUGCUUUCAGUUGGGAAGCGGUACCAACAGAAGAAGUGACGGCUAAAUACGUGCCAGCAGCCGCGGUAAUAC